CUACCCAUCUCCUUGGAAACUGAAUUCCAGCACAGCACUGCCAGCAUCAUAGCUGACCCUCAGUCUCUUCUAAUUAAAGUGGUAUAACGUCCUUUUAGGACAUGUUGGAGAGGAGCUGGCCAGAAUGGCACCAAACAUUCAACAUCAGCCAACUAAUCCAGGCUCUGCGCCAGACGCUCUAAUCUUUAUUUAAGAGAAUCUGGGGGAAAGGGUAUUGCUUUCACUAAUUACCGGAUGCAGAGCCUGCAGGGCCCAAGCCGACGACUCCACUGUUCUAGGUGUUGAGAGUGUACUUAGAAUUCAGAUGGGAAGCCAUGUUCAUUUACUGAGCGAUUCCUCAACUCCAGAUAUCAACUUCCCAGUGCACAAACUACACCCUUCCGAAUUUCACUUUGUGUGGAAAAGACAACAGUGAACUUUCACAUCCCCCCCUCUUCCACCUGAUGGCACUAGUAAUCCACAGAUAAGAGGAAGCGCAGCAAGAUGGACGGUGCAAGCAGUGUGGACAGUUACGAAGAUCCACCCAGUUUCCAGGAGCUCUUACGGCUGUAGGUGGAAGACGCGGUCCAGUGGUUCCCCAGCAAGGGAAUGUUUCCGACUGCCAUGCCCCCAUGCGAGGAUAGGUUCCUGCACGGUCAGGAGUUAGCCUCUGGUCCAAUGAGCUCUAACUGUAGUCAGAGCCCAACAGCGGAAGAUGGCUGCAGAGACUCCACCCACGGGCGAACCUCACGCUGGAAAAGGCUCUCAAGUGCCCCCUGGUGGCCCUACAAAGACAAGAGGUUUAUGAAAACGCUGUUUAAAAAAACAACAAAAAACGCUGCAGGAUCCUGGGAGAUCGGCCACAAUGGCUUCAACUUGGCUGCCUAGCUUCCGGGCUGGAGUCCCCCAGGACAGAUGUCCCUGGACAGUUCGUCUGCUUGACUUAGAUGCGGGCUAGUGUGUGAACGACGGCAGCAUUUUGCCUUGAUUUGUGAGUUAGGUGAGGUGGAGCGAUAGGAGGUGUGAAUUUGUGUAACUAUAAAUGGUGCCUCGGCAUUUAGCCGUCCAAA